GGGAGAUUGGUCGAAAUGAACUCUCAGCCUUGGACUCAGUGGAUCUCAUUGAUGUACAGGGAGAGGAGGAGGAGGAUGAAGAGAGUUGGUUGUAUGUUUCAUCAAAAGAGUUUACAUUUGAGGAAAAAAAUGAGUCUGCUCUCAGAUGGUGCAGGCACGUUUUGGAUAAUCGCAGCCCUGAGAUGGAGGCAGCCUGUCUAAAGCUGAUAAACAGGCUUAAUUUAAAAUUGAGUAGUGAGUCUAGACAUCCAGGCCUACAACAAGCUGGCACCUUCUCUCUUGAUUUAACAAUGGACCAGACUUCAUUUAGC